rnacentral:rRNA from 1 species
GGGUGAGUAACACGUGGACAAUCUGCCCCCGGCCCGGGAUAGCCCAGGGAAACCUGGAUUAAUACCGGAUGAGACGGGACCCGCGAAGGCGGGACCCGGAAAGGCGCUGCGGCGCCGCCGGGGGAUGAGUCUGCGUCCCAUUAGCUAGACGCGGGGUAACGGCCCACCGUGGCGACGAUGGGUAGCCGGCCUGAGAGGGUGGACGGCCACAUUGGAACUGAGACACGGUCCAGACUCCUACGGGAGGCAGCAGCUAAGAAUCUUCCGCAAUGGGCGAAAGCCUGACGGAGCGACGGCCCGCGUGAACGAAGAAGGCCGUGAGGUUGUAAAGUUCUUUUCGGGAGGGGGAACAACCGUGGCAGGGAAUGGCCGCGGGAUGACGUGAAUCCCGGAAUAAGCCCCGGCUAACUACGUGCCAGCCGCAGC